GAUGAACGCUGGCGGCGUGCCUAAUACAUGCAAGUCGAGCGAACAGACGAGGAGCUUGCUCCUCUGACGUUAGCGGCGGACGGGUGAGUAACACGUGGAUAACCUACCUAUAAGACUGGGAUAACUUCGGGAAACCGGAGCUAAUACCGGAUAAUAUAUUGAACCGCAUGGUUCAAUAGUGAAAUACGGUUUUGCUGUCACUUAUAGAUGGAUCCGCGCCGCAUUAGCUAGUUGGUAAGGUAACGGCUUACCAAGGCGACGAGGCGUAGCCGACCUGAGAGGGUGAUCGGCCACACUGGAACUGAGACACGGACCAGACUCCUACGGGAGGCAGCAGUAGGGAAUCUUACGCAAUGGGCGAAAGCCUGACGGAGCAACGCCGCGUGAGUGAUGAAGGUCUUCGGAUCGUAAAACUCUGUUAUUAGGGAAGAACAAAUGUGUAAGUAACUAUGCACGUCUUGACGGUACCUAAUCAGAAAGCCACGGCUAACUACGUG
rnacentral:rRNA from 1 species